GAUGAAGAACGUAGCGAAAUGCGAUACUUGGUGUGAAUUGCAGAAUCCCGUGAACCAUCGAGUCUUUGAACGCAAGUUGCGCCCGAAGCCACUAGGCCGAGGGCACGCCUGCCUGGGCGUCACACGUCGUUGCCCCCCCCCCCAUCUACUCCUUCGGGAUUGCGGGGGGCGGAUGACGGCCUCCCGUGCGCCUAGCCGCGCGGUUGGCAUAAAUCCCAAGUCCUCGGCGACGCACGCCACGACAAUCGGUGGUUGCGAAACCUCGGUUGCCCGUCGUGUGCGUUCGUCGCGCAUCGAGGGCUCGAAAAAAUGCUCGGCUCCGGCUCGGCUUUCAACGCGACCCCAGGUCAGGCGGGGUUACCCGCUGAAUUUAAGCAUAUCAAUAAGCGGAGGA
rnacentral:misc_RNA from 1 species